AGCAGGGUAGCUUAAUGGCAGAGUGCUUGUUUAACAAACAGGAGGCAUGAGUUCGAUUCUCAACCCUGCAC
rnacentral:tRNA from 1 species